GAAACUGGAGUACAACAAAAUUGAGAAGCUUCAUGAAGAUCAGUUCCAGGGCUUGGUGGAGCUAUUAGAUUUAUAUCUCUCGGAGAACAAAAUCGAGGCUCUGCCUGAUAAAAUUUUCAAGGGCGUUAAAAAGCUCAGAUCUCUGAAUAUCUUCGGCAAUAGGAUCCAAAACGUUACCAGCACGACUUUCAACUAUGCCCACGAAUUGCGAAUGUUGUAAGUUUACUGCAAAUGACGGAUGUUUAUCUAGGCAACUAAACUAAGUUGCAUAUAUUGAAAUCAGAUAACAUUCUUUUGAUUUCGUUUUGUCAAGGAAAAGACUCGUGCAAAGUAAUUUUGGAAAAUAACAUAAAUAUACUAA